AGCUUGCUGGGUGGAUUAGUGGCGAACGGGUGAGUAACACGUGAGUAACCUACCCUUGACUCUGGGAUAAGCCCGGGAAACUGGGUCUAAUACCGGAUAGGAACGUCCACCGCAUGGUGGUUGUUGGAAAGAUUUAUCGGUCAUGGAUGGACUCGCGGCCUAUCAGCUUGUUGGUGAGGUAAUGGCUCACCAAGGCGACGACGGGUAGCCGGCCUGAGAGGGUGACCGGCCACACUGGGACUGAGACACGGCCCAGACUCCUACGGGAGGCAGCAGUGGGGAAUAUUGCACAAUGGGCGAAAGCCUGAUGCAGCGACGCCGCGUGAGGGAUGACGGCCUUCGGGUUGUAAACCUCUUUCAGUAGGGAAGAAGCGAAAGUGACGGUACCUGCAGAAGAAGCACCGGCUAACUACGUGCCAGCAGCCGCGGUAAUACGUAGGGUGCGAGCGUUAUCCGGAAUUAUUGGGCGUAAAGAGCUCGUAGGCGGUUUGUCGCGUCUGUCGUGAAAGUCCGGGGCUUAACCCCGGAUCUGCGGUGGGUACGGGCAGACUAGAGUGCAGUAGGGGAGACUGGAAUUCCUGGUGUAGCGGUGGAAUGCGCAGAUAUCAGGAGGAACACCGAUGGCGAAGGCAGGUCUCUGGGCUGUAACUGACGCUGAGGAGCGAAAGCAUGGGGAGCGAACAGGAUUAGAUACCCUGGUAGUCCAUGCCGUAAACGUUGGGCACUAGGUGUGGGGACCAUUCCACGGUU
rnacentral:rRNA from 1 species